GGUUAAGCGACUAAGCGUACACGGUGGAUGCCCUGGCAGUCAGAGGCGAUGAAGGACGUGCUAAUCUGCGAAAAGCGUCGGUAAGGUGAUAUGAACCGUUAUAGCCGGCGAUGUCCGAAUGGGGAAACCCAGUGUGAUUCGUCACACUAUCGUUAACUGAAUACAUAGGUUAACGAGGCGAACCGGGGGAACUGAAACAUCUAAGUACCCCGAGGAAAAGAAAUCAACCGAGAUUCCCCCAGUAGCGGCGAGCGAACGGGGAGCAGCCCAGAGUCUGAAUCAGCUUGUGUGUUAGUGGAACGGUCUGGAAAGUCCGACGGUACAGGGUGAUAGUCCCGUACACCAAAAUGCACAGGCUGUGAACUCGAAGAGUAGGGCGGGACACGUGGUAUCCUGUCUGAAUAUGGGGGGACCAUCCUCCAAGGCUAAAUACUCCUGACUGACCGAUAGUGAACCAGUACCGUGAGGGAAAGGCGAAAAGAACCCCGGCGAGGGGAGUGAAAAAGAACCUGAAACCGUGUACGUACAAGCAGUGGGAGCACCUUCGGGUGUGACUGCGUACCUUUUGUAUAAUGGGUCAGCGACUUAUAUUCUGUAGCAAGGUUAACCGUAUAGGGGAGCCGCAGGGAAACCGAGUCUUAACUGGGCGUUAAGUUGCAGGGUAUAGACCCGAAACCCGGUGAUCUAGCCAUGGGCAGGUUGAAGGUUGGGUAACACUAACUGGAGGACCGAACCGACUAAUGUUGAAAAAUUAGCGGAUGACUUGUGGCUGGGGGUGAAAGGCCAAUCAAACCGGGAGAUAGCUGGUUCUCCCCGAAAGCUAUUUAGGUAGCGCCUCGUGAACUCAUCUUCGGGGGUAGAGCACUGUUUCGGCUAGGGGGUCAUCCCGACUUACCAACCCGAUGCAAACUACGAAUACCGAAGAAUGUUAUCACGGGAGACACACGGCGGGUGCUAACGUCCGUCGUGAAGAGGGAAACAACCCAGACCGCCAGCUAAGGUCCCAAAGUCAUGGUUAAGUGGGAAACGAUGUGGGAAGGCACAGACAGCCAGGAUGUUGGCUUAGAAGCAGCCAUCAUUUAAAGAAAGCGUAAUAGCUCACUGGUCGAGUCGGCCUGCGCGGAAGAUGUAACGGGGCUAAACCAUGCACCGAAGCUGCGGCAGCGACACUAUGUGUUGUUGGGUAGGGGAGCGUUCUGUAAGCCUGCGAAGGUG
rnacentral:rRNA from 1 species